rnacentral:rRNA from 1 species
UCGGUCCCUAUCUGCCGUGGGCGCUGGAGAAUUGAGGGGGGCUGCUCCUAGUACGAGAGGACCGGAGUGGACGCAUCACUGGUGUUCGGGUUGUCAUGCCAAUGGCACUGCCCGGUAGCUAAAUGCGGAAGAGAUAAGUGCUGAAAGCAUCUAAGCACGAAACUUGCCCCGAGAUGAGUUCUCCCUGACUCCUUGAGAGUCCUGAAGGAACGUUGAAGACGACGACGUUGAUAGGCCGGGUGUGUAAGCGCAGCGAUGCGUUGAGCUAACCGGUACUAAUGAACCGUGAGGCUUAACCUU